rnacentral:rRNA from 1 species
GACGAACGCUGGCGGCGUGCCUAAUACAUGCUAGUCGAACGCUGAAGGAGGAGCUUGCUUCUCUGGAUGAGUUGCGAACGGGUGAGUAACGCGUAGGUAACCUGCCUGGUAGCGGGGGAUAACUAUUGGAAACGAUAGCUAAUACCGCAUAAGAGUAGAUGUUGCAUGACAUUUGCUUAAAAGGUGCAAUUGCAUCACUACCAGAUGGACCUGCGUUGUAUUAGCUAGUUGGUGGGGUAACGGCUCACCAAGGCGACGAUACAUAGCCGACCUGAGAGGGUGAUCGGCCAAACUGGGACUGAGACACGGCCCAGACCUCUACGGGAGGCAGCAGUAGGGAAUCUUCGGCAAUGGACGGAAGGCUGACCGAGCAACGCCGCGGGAGGGAAGAAGGGUUUCGGAUCGGAAAGCUCUGUUGUAAGGGAAGAAAGGGUGUGAGGGUAGAAAGUUCACACUGUGACGGUAUCUUAACAGAAAGGGACGGCUAACUACGUG